UACAGAGGGUGCAAGCGUUAAUCGGAAUUACUGGGCGUAAAGCGUGCGCAGGCGGUUUUGUAAGUCAGAUGUGAAAUCCCCGGGCUUAACCUGGGAAUUGCAGUGGAUACUGGCAAGCUGGAGUAUGGUAGAGGAAGGCGGAAUUCCCGGUGUAGCAGUGAAAUGCGUAGAGAUCGGGAGGAACACCAGUGGCGAAGGCGGCCUUCUGGACCAAUACUGACGCUCAUGCACGAAAGCGUGGGGAGCAAACAGG
rnacentral:rRNA from 1 species